GAGUGAAGAAAUUGGAGAUUGGCGUAGGCGCGGGGUUCUGUGGGAUUUUAGGACAAGGGACAAAGGAGGAUGUUUUGGUUCUACUGUCUGCUAUUGCUGUUGUGUCGUAGUUUGUUGCGGUUAAGACUUGAAGUAUGUCCUUGGUUUUUGGAUGUUUUUAGUUUCGACGAAAUAACAUGAAAAACAUCGGAAGCGUGUAAAUGCGAAACACGCCGAGUUCGCGUUCGAUCUUUGGUUUUUCCGGCACUUGGGAUGGGAGUCACAUUUUGUCUUGGGAUAAUGUGCGCCUCAGCGUGUCUUCUUUCUUAACCUGCGCUUGCUUUUUCAUGUCAAUGCCGACUACGUGUCAACUGCGCAGGCUGAAAUAACGUAGUGUUUUCCGGAACAAUUUUUAAAAUUGUUUUAUGGGCUGUGGCCUAUCCAUCGACCCACUAGGCCGGGCCCAUCAUAGUCCCAUGAAUUUAUGAGCACAAGCUGUCCUGUGUGAUGUAAUGACACAUGGAA
rnacentral:misc_RNA from 1 species